UCAUUCUUCACAUAGAUUCUAGAAUAUACUCGAUCUAGAGAUCUCUCUCGCUUCCCUUUCUCUGCUUCUGGCCUCCCUUACUGCUGUUCAAUUCUGAUCAUCGUUCUCAAUUUCUCUGCUUUUGUUCGAGUUUGUCUUUGGUGUUUCUGUAUUUCUAAGUUAGUAUAUGAUAAGUUUUUCUUCUCUUUUCUCCCGACUUUUCUCCACUCUCUUUUCUUCAAUGUUUCAAAUUCUUGGAAACAGAACUAUAAUGGUUGUUAUUUUUGUUCCUUUUUAAAUUUUUAGGUGUGCGUAUCAACAAUUGUAUGUUAUUUGCUCAUGUAUGUUUGAAAAUAGAAAUAGAUACCUAUAUGAUUUUGGUUAUUUGAAAUGAAUCAAAAUCCGGCUUUGCUCGAUAAUUAAAACUAAUUAGUAGCAUUUUUCCUCUUCAAAGUUAUGAAAUUGACAACAAAUUAUUUGAUUUAAUUUCAGUGAUGUUCUGUUCUUUUUCUCUUUGUUAAUCGGUAGGUGACAUUCAUUUAACUGGGUGUCCAAAUCUGGUUGUGCUGGUGGAUUUUCAAGGUUCAUAGUUCUUAUUGAAUAAUGGUUUGCCUUAUAUAAUGUGUUUCUCUUAGUUUUUUAGCAUUCUAAAAAGUAUUUUGUUUUCCUCUGCUUUUUCUAUUUUCGGCCUGACGAGUACUUUGGGUAAUAUUCAUGUUACUGCUUUAGCAUUGCAACAUCAUUAUGCACAAAAUGCGUGUAAGCUAUAUGAUUAUAUGCUUAAAACAACUGAAUUAAUUUUUUUGGACGCUUUUUUUUUUUUUGGCAGGUCCUACAAAGUACAUUUUUUUCCACUUCUAAUGGAUAGUAUUGGUAUGUGUAUGUGUGGCAUUUAUGUUGACAUAUUCUAUUUGCUUGCAUUUGUAUUUCUAUUGCACUCUUGCUAAUAUUGCUCCAACUUUAUGGUUUCAAGAAAGAUUAGAUAUUUAAAUCAUAAGAGUAUUCGGAAAAGAAAUGAUCAGAGUCCAAGACACUGCAAAAGAAAGUGAUGUUUGGUUUAUGCCUUUAACGUUUGACUUAAUGUCUUUCUUUCAAAUUUUACAUGUAUUCUCUCCAUUAAAAUUGGAAUGUGAUAUUCCGUUUAUGCCUUUAGCGAUGGAGACUAUUCAGUUCUAGGUGGCUUUUUGAUUUUUGCUAUGUUUCCUCCCUCUCUUUGACAUUGCUUAUGGUAGUUAUAGCUAUAACUUUAUUAACACAUAGAUAUAUGUAGUAGGAAUUUCUUCACAGUAUUGGUUGUUUCCAUGUAUACAAUACAUUUUUCCUUAUGUACUUGCGUGUAAUAUCAGGUUCAUAUAAACGAAUUUUAGUGGUUCUGGGAUUCCGCACUGUACACAUCCAAGAUGUUUGAUCGUAUGCGUGAAAACCACUAACCAAAUUUGUUGUGUUUCCCUUUCAGCAUAUUUACCAAAACAUUCUACUCCAUCAAUCAAUAACUCAAAAGGUAUGUUAUUAUAUCUUCCGAAAUGCAAAAAGACCAAAUUUCAAUGGUCUGGGAUACUUGGAUCUUGUGCUUUUUGUUUAUGAAGCUAAAAGUUUGGUCUAUCUAAGAAAUUCAAGCUUUGAAAAAUUAUUUCUUGGUUGGAGUAGUGAUGCAUCUGCAGUUUUCCUAAUAUUCAGUUCUUGACGUAUCUGAAUCAGCAGCUCUUUUAAAAAUUAACCUUACAAUAACGUCUGUGCUUAUUCAAGUAAUAACGAAUUUACUUGAAUGAUCUUUUCCUCUUCAUAUAGGUUGUUUAGCUUGCACCUACAGUAAUAUAAACAUUUACAAUAUAAUUACAAUAUGAGAUACGUGGUCGAACAUAUGUUAGUCCCCUGCAUAUUGAGAUAUUAAAUUACUACUAAUUGAGUUGAGAGCACCUGAUUGUGGUAAAGAGAAGUCAUAGGACGGACAAACUAUGUUUUUAGCAGCUUUUAUUCUGGGGUAUUCAUUGUAGGAGAACCUUUUCUUACCUUGUACGAAAUACAAUUUUAUUUUUCCAAUGGAGAUUUAUCUAUAGAUCUUUACCACGUAGGUGCUUAUUGAUAUUCUAAAUGAUCAUAUUUCAGUGCAAGGUUUCAAGUUUCAAAUUUGACCUUUUCAUUCAUUUUGUGUUUAGGAAGUUACUUAGAAUUCAAUUGCUUUCUUUUAACUGGCCAUAAAUGCUAACAUUGCAGAAACAUUGGGAAUUUUCCUUUGUUGCUCAACUUUUGUAUGACUUACCAUGGUUUAGCCAGCCACUAAUUAAUAUAAUAAAUAUUUUGUUUAUACUUGCAUUUCUAUCCUUAAUGUAUUCAGAUGUUUCUUUGUAUAUAUAAAAUUACUUUACACUGCUUUCUUUCUUAAAUAAACGAAGAUGCGAGAUUUUCUAAGAAUUUUGCUUCGAUGAGGACGCUAAGGAAAAAAAAGAAGGCAUUUCAGCACUUUAAUGCUUCUGUUAUAACUGUUAAAGUGGUCCCGAGGAGAAUUAUUAUUAUCCUAUCCACACAUAUUGUGGUGGUAUAGAAAAAUCACGCAAAAAAAGCCAUCUUCCCUCUUUGUGUUUGUAUUUGUUAUACACCUACUCUUAGAAGCAUUUAGGCUUUAUAUAGACUUUACAUUUUCACUUUCAUUCCGUGUAUCUUUUCUUUGAUUUGGUGUGUGUGUUUUGAUGUUUGAGCUUUUGUGGAUUUGAUCUGCUGUUUUAGGUGGUGCAAUAUUGUUGAAAAUUUAGGUCUUACUUCAAAUUCUUAGAGAUUGAGAGAGACUUCACAGGUUUCCAAAUUGUAUUUCUUAUGAAAGUUUUUGGUCCCUUAAAGUUCUAGAUUUAUUGGCAGAAUAAUGCACUACUUUCUUUCAAGUAAUUUAAUAUCUUGAGGGAAUGUUAUGUUCUGCUAAGAUUUUGUCAAACAUCAAUAUAUAUAUAAGGAACAUCUUAUGUUGCAAAAUGUCUUGCCUAUGCUCAAACAAAGCAACUAUCUAAUAUCUGGGUUUAUGGAACUUUAGUUUUAGUAAUUGUGGCCUGUCUCUGCAUAUGGCUAUCUCUAUAGAUUCUAGCAUCGGGCUCUUUGUUUGCUAAGUUUCCUUUCUCAUUGAUAGCAAGUAACAAAAGUUGUAGUCUUUAUGUCCAUUCAUGUGAUUACAUAACUGGAAUAUGGAUCAUUGUCUAUUUGGUUUUCUCACCAUCAAUUCAUGUAAAGAGAAACACUGUAAAUUGCUUCUAUGAAAUGGUUCAGUAGGUAAGUUUAUUCUUCAAGAGUACCAUCCCUGAUUGGUCUUGAAAGAUGAAUUCUUUAGUAUUGGUAUGAAAUAGGCAUGAAUAGAAUAUAGGUUACAGAAAAUUCCACCAAUUGAUUCCAAGUUGUUUGCAGUUGAGGUGAAAUUUAUUUGAACUACAUUAAGAAUCUUUGUUGGGUUGCCUGUAGUUAAUUGUUAUGUCUUUUGAGACCAAUUUUGGUCCUUGAGUAGUCUGUCACUUUUUUUUCUUUAUCUAAAUUGAAUUGUACGAAAUUAUGAUUUAUCUCUGUAGCAUGUAGUAUGUUAGUCUGAAGAAGUUCUGUAUUACUAUAGAGGAUAAAAUCCAGGAAUUUGUCGAUAACCAUUUCUAUUAAACUAGCUGCUUUAGCAUCUUUCUAGCCUGCAUAUUCGUGGAACUCAAUCUCAUUUAGGAAACCUGAUCUCUAUCUUUCAGCAACUGAAUGGGAAGUCGAUGAAAGUCAAUUAUGUCAAAACGCACACCACUACUAUGACCCUGCGGCGCGAAAAUAAAAACCCUCAUCCUUUAUUCAACUGAUGGAAAAUAAAUGCCUCUUGAAGUGCAAGAAAGGUAUGUGCUAAUGUAUUUUUGGUCAAAACAACAUAAGGUUGUUUAGAAGGAAGUGACAAAAAAACUGGAGAGGAAUCCCCAAAAUCAAUUGUAGUAAUCUUAUUUUUCCGCAA